GCACCCGCGGUAAUUCCAGCACCAAUAGCGUAUAUUAAUGCUGCUGCUGUUAAAAAGCUCGUAGUUGGAUCAAGAGCUCGUCCGUGCACAGUGGCCGUUGUUAGUCAGUUUGGCUCCGGUCAGGCUGGCGGCAGCGGAAUCACCCUGUGCGUUCAACGGUCGACUCUAACAGAUCGAAACGGUUCCCUGUGAGUAAGCUCCUUAAUUGGGGCUGAAAGCGCCUACGCAUCAACCAUAUGCAUACGGGACGUCGAUCAAAGUUACUGUGAACAAACCAGCGUGUCCAAAGCAGGCUAGCGCCUGAAUGUUCGAGCAUGGAAUAACAAGGGAUCGAUUCUCUCGGUUCUUUUUGUUGGUUUUUAACCCGAGAAGGAGUAAUUCAGGCCACGGUGUCUGAGUUGGGAUCCGUAGGCUUAGGUUUACGCCCCAAUUAGGCCGUGUCCUUACGGGAUCAAUAGGGACUGACGGGGUCGUACCUACUUCCGCGUCAGAGGUGAAAUUCUUAGAUCGCGGGAAGAGGAACUUCUGCGAAAGCAUCCGACAAGAAUGUCUUCAUUAAUCAAGAACGAGAGUGUGGGGAUCGAAGAUGAUCAGAUACCGUCGUAGUCCACUACUGUAAACAAUGCCGUCUCAGGAUUGAGAAGUGAACAGAAUGACUUUCACAGCACUAACCCCUGAAACGAGAAAUCAAAGAUUAUGGGUUCAGGGGGGAGUACAUUCGCAAGGCUGAAACUUAAAGGAAUUGACGGAAUGACACCACAAGGCGUGGAGUAUGCGGCUUAAUUUGACUCAACACGGGGAAUUUUACUAGGUCAGGACAAUGUAAGGAUUGACAGAUUGAGAGCUCUUUCUCGAUCCAUUGUGUGGUGGUGCAUGGCCGCUCCUGGUUGGUGGAGUGAUUUGUCUGGUUGAUUCCGUUAACGAACGAGAUCUCGACCCUUAAAUAGGUGCCCAUGUCGUUGUAGUCUUGCCUCCGCCAGCUUGCUGGAUUGGAGCGGGACGAGACUGUGGGAAUACUUCUUAAGGGGACUGUGUGCGUCUAUAGCACGCGGAAGAGCGAGCCAAUAGCAGGUCUGUGAUGCUCCUAAAUGUCCUAGGCUGCACGCGCACUACACUGAUGCAAUAAACGAGUCUGAGUGCCUUCUGGCAACCUACCUGGAAGCGGGUGGGAAAUCUUUUGAACUUGCAUCGUGAUGAG
rnacentral:rRNA from 1 species